AUAUCAAGUAUCCCCGAUAAAUACUGAGCGGCAUAUUUGGAAUUCACUCCUCGUCAUGCUUUUUUAGUUUCUCUUUGGUCAGCCUAAAUUACUCGCUCUGGUCAAUUUUCUAUUCUUUGAAAUAUACCUGCGGUGACAUGACCCACGCCGUCGUAUGUUGGGAGGACGAAAACUAUUUUGAAUUCGGAACAACGUUCGAAGAUGUAUCGACCCUAUCCGAUUUAAAGCAUUAAAGGAUUACACAACGGAAAUUUUCGGCCUGAAGCCAAAUACUGUUGAGUGGUUAACUUUUGAAAAGAAGCUUCACAAUAUUCCUGGGGAUGCCAGAAAGAAGAUGAAUCGUCUCACAGGUCUGGCUGGAAAUUCUACGAUCAUGUCGCCGGAAUUCAGUUGUUCGAAUUCCGAUGAUUCAGAAACGAGAGUUGAGGAGUAUCUCAACUUGGUAGGGGAGAAUUAAGAAUAGUAUAAAAUUUAUUAAUUGGAUUCUUGUAUAAAUAAAUACAUUGAAUUUUUAAUAGUCG